rnacentral:rRNA from 1 species
UCAGACCUACGGGACGCAGCAGUGAGGAAUAUUGGUCAAUGGGCGGGAGCCUGAACCAGCCAAGCCGCGUGAGGGAAGAAGGUACAGCGUAUCGUAAACCUCUUUUGUCAGGGAACAAAGGCGGGGACUAGUCCCCGGAUGAGGGUACCUGAAGAAAAAGCAUCGGCUAACUCCGUGCCAGCAGCCGCGGCAAUACGGAGGAUGCGAGCGUUAUCCGGAUUUAUUGGGUUUAAAUGGUGCGUAGGCG